UCCCGUUGAUCCUGCGGGAGAUCGCUGCUAUCGGGAUUCGACUAAGCCAUGCAAGUCAGGGCGCAAGCCCGGCAGACCGCUCAGUAACACGUCGUUAACCUAACCUUGGGUUCGGGAUAAUCUCGGAAAACUGAGGCUAAUACCGAAUAUGGGAAUUCUUCUGGAAUGAUGUUUCCCUGAAAGGCAACGCCUAAGGAUGGGACGGCGGCGGAUUAGGUUGUUGGCGGUGUAACGGACCACCAAGCCAAAGAUCCGUAGGGGCCAUGAGAGUGGUAGCCUCGAGAAGGACACUGAGAUACUGGUCCUAGCCCUACGGGGUGCAGCAGGCGCGAAACCUCUACAAUGCACGAAAGUGUGAUAGGGGAAUCCCGAGUGCCAAUGCAAUGCAUUGGCUUUUGCCAAGGGCAAAUACCUUGGCGAAUAAGUGGUGGGCAAGACCGGUGCCAGCAGCCGCGGUAACCCCGGCGCCACGAGUGGGGAUCACUUUUAUUGGGCCUAAAGCGUCCGUAGCCGGCUCAUCAAGUCUCUUGUGAAAUCGUUGGGCUUAACCCAACGGCGUGCAGGAGAAACUGAUAAGCUUGAGACCGGGAGGAGUCAGAGGUAUGCCUGGGGGAGCGGUAAAAUGCUAUAAUCCCUUGUAGACCACCUGUGGCGAAGGCGUCUGACUAGAACGGAUCUGACGGUGAGGGACGAAAGCCAGGGGAGCGAACCGGAUUAGAUACCCGAGUAGUCCUGGCCGUAAACGCUGCGAGCUAGGUGUUGCAUAUUCUUCGAGAAUAUGCAGUGUCGAAGCGAAGGUGUUAAGCUCGCCGCCUGGGAAGUAUGGUCGCAAGACUGAAACUUAAAGGAAUUGGCGGGGGAGCACCACAAGGGGUGCGGCGUGCGGUUCAAUCUAACUCAACACAGAGAAUCUCACCAGCAGCGACGGCAGGAUGAAAGUCAGGCUAAAGGCCUUACUUGACGAGCCGAGAGGUAGUGCAUGGCCGUCGUCAGCUCGUGCUGUAAGGUGUCCUCUUAAGUGAGGCAACGAGCGAGACCUGUACCUACACUUGCCAGCGAGCUCAUCGAGCGAUCGGGCACAUUGUAGGGACUGCCCUGGAAACAGGGAGGAAGGUGCAGGCUACGGUAGGUCUGUAUGCUCCGAAUCUGCUGGGCAACACGCGCGCAACAAUGGUAGGGACAAUGGGCUGCGACACCGAAAGGUGAAGCUAAACCUCGAAACCCUAUCUAAGUUCAGAUCGAGGGUUGUAACUCACCCUCGUGACGCCGGAAUCCCUAGUAAUCGGGUGUCAACAUCGCCCGGUGAAUAUGUCCCUGCUCCUUGCACACACCGCCCGUCAAAUCAACCGAGCAGGGUCUAGGUAAGUCUAAGU
rnacentral:rRNA from 1 species